ensembl:lncRNA
CUAACAUCUGUGCCCAUCUUCCUCUGCUUUAUAUGUGGGACACCCGCCACAGCAUGGCUUGACAAGCGGUGCCAUGUCCGCACCCGGGAUCCGAACUGGCGAACCCCAGGCCGCCGAAGCAGAAUGUGAGAACUUAACCGCUGUGCCACCAGACCAGCCCCUCAAGAUGCACUCUUAUUAUCAUCUCUACAAGAUGAUCAAAAGCAACAUUUGGAACACAUCUUUUAAAUAGCUCCAUCUAAUAUCACUGCUGCUGAGACUUCUGACUCCUCCCUACUGCCUCGUCAGUGACCUCAGAUCCUACUGGAUUCCAGAGCUCGAUCCUCGGUGCAAUGAUUCCAACUCCAGGGAGGAGCUUCUGAAAUGAAGCUAUAGAUUGUUUGGUGGAUAAAUAAGCCAAGAAUAGAGGGGGGAUGUUGUGACCUGGAGAGGCAGCUAACAUGUCAUCUUUUGACAGAGAAAUAAACGUAGAAAAAUAACCAUGGAAAUGAAGAAAGAAAACAUGUAGAAGACGAAAAGAAUAGCAAUAGAGCCAGAAAUUUCCAACAGACCAUAAGAGCUGGGAAGAAAAAAAGCACAAGACUUUGCUGGUUUUGUUUGGUUGUAGCUAAGCUCUUGGGCCUUUCUGUACUUUGGCUUCUGUCUCUGAAAUGGAAACAUAACACUGCCACCUCCUUCCAGCAGACUUGAUGUUGGAGAAAGAAACAGUGCACCAACUAUGAAAGCUCUCACAGCUCUCCAGAGGAAGGGAGUCAGAUCAGUUCAGUCCAAGCGACCGAAACACUCAACACAGAUAAUAAUGACAGCAAUAAUGAGCACUGAAAUUUUCGCAGAAUUUAACAGUUUAUCAGGUGUUUUAAAUAUAUCAUUUCAUUGGCCCUUAUAACAAGGUGUGAAAUAGGGAGGCCAUUUUUAAAAUUAACUUGACAGACGACGAAAUUCAGGCCCAGAGAAGAGGAGUGACUUGCCCAAGAUGGAACAGCUAGUUAACAGCAGGACAAGCAUCUGACAGGAGUCUGGUGCUCAUUCCAGUGUAUCAACCUGUACGUGCAGUGAUUGCCUAUUUCCUUCGUUCCUUUCCUACUCCAAGUGAAGCUUGCUUGUUAGCGGGUCACUAAAAGCAAAUAAAGCUUUCUAUUUCUCAUGUAUAGUUCCAGUUCAUCGACUGUCAUAAAGAGCUUAAAUCUCUCUUGACAUUCCCCUACAGCCAAGAUCUGUGAACUCUAGGUCUGUUGAAUCCCUGAACACUCCAAGUCCUAAGCCUUCAUUUCAAAGACCACUAUUCAUAAAUUUUGCUACUUCUGCUUAUCACGUCACAUCUGAGCCACAGAUCAGUUCCUUGGGUCCUUCUUUACAAAAUAUGCUGUCUUUAUCACCAGUUUCUAUUCAUCUGUGGUAUUUUUAUGGUGUUCCUCAUUGUGGUAUCUUGUUAAAACCACGAUAGACAUAAGAAGCAUUCUUAAAGUGAUUUUUUUCUAGUAAGACUCUGUUAAGCCUUUGAACUCAGAAAGAAUGUGAGAGCAGUCCAGGGUAAUUUCAAACAACAAAUAAAAGUUUGUUCUCUUUCAU